GAUGAACGCUGGCGGCGUGCCUAAUACAUGCAAGUCGAGCGAACAGACGAGGAGCUUGCUCCUCUGACGUUAGCGGCGGACGGGUGAGUAACACGUGGAUAACCUACCUAUAAGACUGGGAUAACUUCGGGAAACCGGAGCUAAUACCGGAUAAUAUAUUGAACCGCAUGGUUCAAUAGUGAAAGACGGUUUUGCUGUCACUUAUAGAUGGAUCCGCGCCGCAUUAGCUAGUUGGUAAGGUAACGGCUUACCAAGGCAACGAUGCGUAGCCGACCGGAGAGGGUGAUCGGCCACACUGGAACUGAGGCACGGUCCAGACUCCUACGGGAGGCAGCAGUAGGGAAUCUUCCGCAAUGGGCGAAAGCCUGACGGAGCAACGCCGCGUGAGUGAUGAAGUUCUUCGGAUCGUAAAACUCUGUUAUUAGGGAAGAACAAAUGUGUAAGUAACUAUGCACGUCUUGACGGUACCUAAUCAGAAAGCCACGGCUAACUACGUG
rnacentral:rRNA from 1 species